rnacentral:sRNA from 1 species
AUAUUUCGCUUUUUUCGUCCUCUCGCUUUGUCCAUUCCUUGAUCUACGAAAGGUAUUCAGUAUUAGGAUCAGAGGCCUAUGGGAUUUCAGUAGCCUUUAA